rnacentral:rRNA from 1 species
CCCCUAGUAACGGCGAGUGAACCGGGAAGAGCUCAAAUUUGAAAUCUGGCGUGCUCAGUGCGUCCGAGUUGUAAUCUAUAGAGUCGUUUUCCGUGCCGGACUGUGUCCAAGUCCCUUGGAACAGGGUAUCAAAGAGGGUGAUAAUCCCGUACUUGACACAAUGACCGGUGCUCUGUGAUACGUCUUCUACGAGUCGAGUUGUUUGGGAAUGCAGCUCAAAAUGGGUGGUGAGUUCCAUCUAAAGCUAAAUAUUGGCGAGAGACCGAUAGCGAACAAGUACCGUGAGGGAAAGAUGAAAAGCACUUUGGAAAGAGAGUUAAACAGUACGUGAAAUUGUUAAAAGGGAAACGAUUGAAGUCAGUCGUGACUGAGAGGCUCAGCCGGUUCUGCCGGUGUAUUCCCCUCAGUCGGGUCAACAUCAGUUUUGUUCGGUGGAUAAGGGCAGUUGGAAGGUGGCACCCUCGGGUGUGUUAUAGCCAGCUGUCGCAUACAUCGGAUGAGACUGAGGAAUGCAGCUCGCCUUUAUGGCCGGGGUUCGCCCACGUUCGAGCUUAGGAUGUUGACAUAAUGGCUUUAAACGACCCGUCUUGAA